CAGGACGAACGCUGGCGGCGUGCCUAAUACAUGCAAGUCGAACGCACUGACGUCGACAGAAGGUGCUUGCACUGGAAGUUGAUUGACGUGAGUGGCGGACGGGUGAGUAACACGUGGGUAACCUGCCCUUAAGCGGGGGAUAACAUUUGGAAACAGAUGCUAAUACCGCAUAAAAGUUGAGAUCACAUGGUCUUAAUUUGAAAGACGGCCUUUGGCUGUCACUUAAGGAUGGACCCGCGGCGUAUUAGCUAGUUGGUGAGAUAAUAGCCCACCAAGGCGAUGAUACGUAGCCGACCUGAGAGGGUAAUCGGCCACAUUGGGACUGAGACACGGCCCAAACUCCUACGGGAGGCAGCAGUAGGGAAUCUUCCACAAUGGACGAAAGUCUGAUGGAGCAACGCCGCGUGAGUGAAGAAGGUUUUCGGAUCGUAAAACUCUGUUGUUGGAGAAGAACAGGGACUAGAGUAACUGUUAGUCCUUUGACGGUAUCCAACCAGAAAGCCACGGCUAACUACGUGCCAGCAGCCGCGGUAAUACGUAGGUGGCAAGCGUUGUCCGGAUUUAUUGGGCGUAAAGCGAGCGCAGGCGGUUUCUUAAGUCUGAUGUGAAAGCCUUCGGCUUAACCGAAGAAGUGCAUCAGAUACUGGGAAACUUGAGUGCAGAAGAGGAAAGUGGAACUCCAUGUGUAGCGGUGAAAUGCGUAGAUAUAUGGAAGAACACCAGUGGCGAAGGCGGCUUUCUGGUCUGUAACUGACGCUGAGGCUCGAAAGUAUGGGGAGCGAACAGGAUUAGAUACCCUGGUAGUCCAUACCGUAAACGAUGAAUGCUAAGUGUUGGAGGGUUUCCGCCCUUCAGUGCUGCAGCUAACGCAUUAAGCAUUCCGCCUGGGGAGUACGACCGCAAGGUUGAAACUCAAAGGAAUUGACGGGGGCCCGCACAAGCGGUGGAGCAUGUGGUUUAAUUCGAAGCUACGCGAAGAACCUUACCAGGUCUUGACAUCUAGCGCCAAUCCUAGAGAUAGGACGUUCCCUUCGGGGACGCUAAGACAGGUGGUGCAUGGUUGUCGUCAGCUCGUGUCGUGAGAUGUUGGGUUAAGUCCCGCAACGAGCGCAACCCUUAUGAUUAGUUGCCAGCAUUUAGUUGGGCACUCUAAUCAGACUGCCGGUGACAAACCG
rnacentral:rRNA from 1 species